AGAAUCUUUCACAAUGGGGGAAACCCUGAUGGAGCGACGCCGCGUGGGGGAUGAAGGGCUUCGGCUCGUAAACCCCUGUCAUUUGUGAACAAAGUUUCAGUGCUAAUACCAUUGAGAUUGAUAGUAGCAGACCAGGAAGGGACGGCUAACUCUGUGCCCGCAGCCGCGGUAAUACAGAGGUCCCAAGCGUUGUUCGGAUUCACUGGGCGUAAAGGGUGCGUAGGUGGCAAGGCAAGUUCGAUGUGAAAGCUCCGAGCCCAACUCGGAAAAUGCAUUGAAAACUGCCUAGCUAGAGGAUUGGAGGGGGGACUGGAAUUCUCGGUGUAGCGGUGAAAUGCGUAGAUAUCGAGAGGAACACCAGUGGCGAAGGCGAGUCCCUGGACAAAUCCUGACACUGAGGCACGAAAGCUAGGGUAGCAAA
rnacentral:rRNA from 1 species